rnacentral:rRNA from 1 species
UACGAACUGUGCAACGUUAUUCGGAAUCACUGGGCUUACAGGGUGUGUAGGCGGCUUGUUAAGUAGGGUGUGAAAGCCCCCGGCUCAACCGGGGAAUUGCGCCCUAACUGGCGAGCUGGAGUGAGAUAGGGGUGUGUGGAACUUCCGGUGGAGCGGUGAAAUGUGUUGAUAUCGGAAGGAACGCCGGUAGCGAAAGCGACACACUGGGUCUUGACUGACGCUGAGGCACGAAAACCAGGGAGCGAACGGG